CUGGAGAGGGUCGCUGCCCUCUGUCUACACAGGAAACAAGGAUCAUCAGACUCCCAUGACCAAACAAUAAUCAAUGAUGCAGACUGCAGGUCAGCCACCAGGGGGAGACUCGUCGAGGCCUGGUGACAGACGGAGUAUACGUCGAGGCGAUGGCUACAUCUGCUGGACGUGCCAGGUCUCGACGGGCUCGCCGCCCAGGACGAAUCGGGGCUGAUUGGGGAGUUGGUGAGUAAUCAAGGGCUGAUUGCUCACCAGCUGUACAAGUCCCAUGAAGCUGCCAGAAGGGCAGCACACAGGAGAAGACUGGGGGAAGUGAGGUGACUUCCAUGUAGGUGGAGACGGUUACCCGAGCUAAGACGAGGGAGUUGUGUUUGUGUGCCCGACAGGAUACAGCAAGACCCGGAGCCCAGAAGACAGUAUCCCGGAGAGGGUCUCAUGGGGGAGACCCAUCCUUUUCCUUUUGAUUUAUUAUUUAAUAAACACCCUUGAAACCGA